AUCCAGCUGACGAGUCUCGAAUAGGACGAAACGCGAUUCCUGAAU
rfam:Schistosoma rodhaini strain Burundi genome assembly, scaffold: SROB_scaffold0000200